ACGAAGGGGGCUAGCGUUGUUCGGAAUCACUGGGCGUAAAGGGCGCGUAGGCGGCUUUAUAAGUCGGGGGUGAAAGCCUGUGGCUCAACCACAGAAUUGCCUUCGAUACUGUAUGGCUAGAGGACGGAAGAGGAUAGUGGAAUUCCUGGUGUAGCGGUGAAAUGCGUAGAUAUCAGGAAGAACACCAGUGGCGAAGGCGGCUCACUGGACCGGAACUGACGCUGAGGCGCGAAAGCGUGGGGAGCAAACAGGA
rnacentral:rRNA from 1 species